AUUAGGAUAGCUCAGUUGGUAGAGCAUGCGACUCAUAAUCUCAGGGUUAUGCGUUCGAGCCCCACGUUUUAAGG